rnacentral:sRNA from 1 species
GAUCAUAUUGUGCUGUCAACAGUGAAAGAAAAUCUGGGGGAUCCUCACAGAAAUGGGGCGCACUUUGGAACGAAGGAGCACUUUUGGAGAAAAGCAUGCAGUCCAGAGAAGUCAAGACUUGCCCAAGGUUGCACAGCUAGCUACUAAUAAAAUCUGGACUAGAAUUCCAAGCUUAGAGAUCAGCACACUUGCCUAAAAGGAGCUAUUGAAAACAUUUUUUUUGCAAACAUACACUUCAAAUAUUCAUGACUGUCACUGUAAACAUCGACAAACACUACUGUCAUAUACCUACAAUGAGUAUGUGUUACUGUAUUUGGCACCUUACAGCUUGGGAGGACAGAGUGUGGGGGUGAUAUCAGAGAAGAUGUCAUGGAAGAACUAAUGCCUGAACAAAGUUUUGAAUAGUGCAUACGAGUUCCCCAGAUGGAAAGGGGAAGUAAUGGAGCCUAUUUGGAAGAGGCUCCUUCAAACAUGAAACCUAUUUGGAAUUGACAACUAUGUUAUAAAUGUAAAGUAUAUUAUUCUUACCAAAUUA